rnacentral:rRNA from 1 species
UAGAAGGCCCACGGGUCGUGAGCUUCCUUUUUCGGAGAAGAAGUAAUGACGGUAUCUGGGGAAUAAGCAUCAACUAACUCUGUGCCAGCAGCCGCGGUAAUACAGAGGAUGCAAGUGUUAUUCGGAAUGAUUGGGCGUAAAGCGUCUGUAUGUGGCUUUUUAAGUCCGCCAUCAAAUCCCAGGGAUCAACACUAGACAGGCGGUGGAAACUACCAAGCUGGAGUAUGGUAGGGGCAGAGGGAAUUUUCGGUGGAGCGGUGAAAUGCGUAGAGAUCGGAAAGAACACCAACGGCGAAAGCACUCUGCUGGGCCGACACUGACACUGAGAGACGAAAGCUAGGGGAGCGAAUGGGAUUAGAUACCCCAGUAGUCCUAGCCGUAAACGAUGGAUACUAGGCGCUGUGCGUAUUGACCCGUGCAGUGCUGUAGCUAAUGCGUUAAGUAUCCUGCCU